AGAAAGCCAAGAGAAGACACAGCAAACAGGUUGGAUAAGAAACCAAGAAGACAGCAUCGUGACUUCUGCAGGACGCACUGUGAUUUUCUCUCUCUGUCUCUGUAACUCUCUUACAACUUAUCUCUCGUAUUCUUCCAUCCGUUUUCAUACCAUUUUAUGACCUUUAACCCUAUGGACUUGGGCCCAGCUUGAAUGUGCAGAAACUGUGGGACUACUAAGAAAAUGCAAAUGCAGCUGACCUCCGUUAUGCUCCUUUUUUUACUGUGUAAUGGACUGUGUUCAGAUAUAGACCAGGGAAAAAGGGCAAUAGAGGAAGAGGUACUGAGAAGUCUCCUCACUUCAAAGGUAAAGCAGAGCAAGCACAUCUCCCCCCUGUGGCAGCUGC